AUUGAACGCUGGCGGCAUGCCUAACACAUGCAAGUCGAACGGCAGCACGAUGUGUAGCAAUACACAUGGGUGGCGAGUGGCGGACGGGUGAGUAGAAAGUAGGGAUCUGCCUUAUAGAUUGGGAUAACUUGGGGAAACUCGAGCUAAUACCGGAUAAGCACUACGGUGGAAAGCAUGGGACCGAAAGGCCAUGCGCUAUAAGAUGAACCUACGUCGGAUUAGCUAGUUGGUUAGGUAAAGGCUGACCAAGGCGAAGAUCCGUAGCUGGUCUGAGAGGAUGAUCAGCCACACUGGGACUGAGACACGGCCCAGACUCCUACGGGAGGCAGCAGUGGGGAAUAUUGGACAAUGGGGCGAACCCUCGAU
rnacentral:rRNA from 1 species